rnacentral:rRNA from 1 species
GACGAACGCUGGCGGCGUGCUUAACACAUGCAAGUCGAACGGAAAGGCCCUGCUUUUGUGGGGUGCUCGAGUGGCGAACGGGUGAGUAACACGUGAGUAACCUGCCCUUGACUUUGGGAUAACGUCAGGAAACUGGGGCUAAUACCGGAUAGGAGCUCCUGCUGCAUGGUGGGGGUUGGAAAGUUUCGGCGGUUGGGGAUGGACUCGCGGCUUAUCAGCUUGUUGGUGGGGUAGUGGCUUACCAAGGCUUUGACGGGUAGCCGGCCUGAGAGGGUGACCGGCCACAUUGGGACUGAGAUACGGCCCAGACUCCUACGGGAGGCAGCAGUGGGGAAUAUUGCACAAUGGGCGGAAGCCUGAUGCAGCAACGCCGCGUGCGGGAUGACGUCCUUCGGGUUGUAAACCGUGUUCGCCUGUGACGAAGCGUGAGUGACGGUAAUGGGUAAAGAAGCACCGGCUAACUACGUG